rnacentral:lncRNA from 1 species
UCGAUUUUUAUUUGAAAAAUGAUUUUUAUUGAUUAUUUGAAAAUGACUUGGAGUCGCCACUUAUUUUUGUUUUAUUUUUAAAGGGUAAACAAAAUAAGAAAGAAAAAACCCUAAGUGUGACUCCUUAUUUUGGAAAAGGUGGUCUGUGAAAAACCGGAUCGGGUUCGGGGGUCAGGUUACUUAUUGGGAAGGUACGGUAUGGACCGUAGCACCCCUCUAAGUCCCUAAAGUCGGGUCUCUACUAAUGAGAUGAAGCUGACAUGGCAAUCAAUGAGAAAAUCAAUGAAUACUCGAAUCAAUCAUGCACAUAUGAGAAACAAAGCAUGUAUAAAGAAUGAGCAAAAUAUGAAUAGAUGCGUACCUGGGCGGCAAUCACGAAUGCGCUAUCAUGAAACAUGGUUAGUGAACAAUGAACAUAUAUAAUUAAGCGCAUAUCAAGGAAUAUAAUAAAUCAAUCAUGCAUGACAAAUAAAUCAAUCAAUCAUGGAAUCUCAUAUGUAGGGCCCCCACCAAGACCCAAUUCAUUUUUGCAUGAAUCAAUUCCAUAAAUUCCAUCACUUGGAAUUACGGAAUUUAAUUCUUACUUAUUUUUAAAACAUUUUAAAAAACAAAGAAAAUUUGAAAAUGGCUUGCCAGAAAGAAAAAGGCAGCCAAGUUUUAUAAGAAAAUAGGAGGAAUUGGAAUUAUUUGAAAAGCUGAAUUUGAGAGAAUAUUUACAAAAUAGGAUUUGGGGCAAUUAUCUUAAAAAUUCAAAGAGGGGAAUAGGAGAUAGCACAUUCCUCAAAGGUAGCCAUGCAUUGACAUACAAAUGAAAAGGUGAUGAGGGAAGACCGAGUAAGAAUGCAAUCUGGAGUGCCACUACAUCUGCUCUGUCAACAACUCAUCUUCAAAUGAAUCACAUGAUCUUGCUAUAUGGGCUGGCCAUCCAUGUACUGCACCAUCAACUGAUCGAAAUAAUUCCCAAACAUCCCUUGAACACCUCUCUACAGGCUGCAUACAUCUUCUAAAAGAUAUCCCUGUGGAGUCCUUCAAAUCUUUAUUACUCGAAUGCUGAGGAGAGCAGAAAUUCCUCAUUGAAGCAAAGCUAGCAAUCCCCGUAUUCUUUACAAUCUGUGCAUCCUCAUCAAAAAGAGUCUCAAGCCUAAAGAGACAUAUUGAU